AAGUUUGAAGUGAUUAAUCACAAUUAGUUUCGACCUAAUUUUAGGUAAUUUAUACCCAUACUUU
rnacentral:tRNA from 2 species